AAGAUUUCUGUUUUGCGCGCUACACAGGGCCUUUGGACUUUGCAUUUGAGAUUUGAGUCAGGUACCUGAAGUAGCGCGCGAAACGGAAAUAC
rnacentral:pre_miRNA from 1 species